UGGUCUAUUAUUUUUAUUUUUUUUAAUUGAGCUUAUACAACUAAGCCUAAUUUGUCUCUCUCCAAAGUCUGGCUAGAGCCCACUCUAGCCCAAACACGUUGGUAAUAAGCAUAUUUUAUGUUCCCCUACUAGUGAAGAUGAUCGUGGUUUCAUCUUAAAAGCUGUUGCAAGGAACAAGCCUAUAGAUUCCAGUGUAGAUCUUAGUGAGAUAAUAUGAAAAUUGAGGGUUUUUGGGGUGGGGUGGUGCUAGGUAAACAGGGGGGUGGGUUUCUUUUUUUUUUUUUUUUGGCUAUAAAGCCUGGCUCAAAAUGAUGUCUUUUUGAAGCCAGAUCAUUAAAAAUAAUUUGAAUGCACAUGAACCAAAUGAUGUAUUUUGGCUAAGCGCUUUAAAAGUGUUUGUACCCAAUUUUGGAGAAUGGACCAAAAAUGGCCUACUUCUCAAAAUAAUAUAUUUUAGGGCCCAGGCCCAGCGUCCUUUUUCUUUUCCUAAAGACCAGAGGAUCUCUUUUUGCUUAAAAGGGUCUGCGAUGAGUAAAAGAAAUCAUUAAAAGGCCAUGAAGACAAGAAGCCCAAACCUUUCAGAUGCACUAAAGUUAAAAAGAUCGGUAACCGUUGCGCAUUGACCCAUGUGAGGAUCUCAAGAAGAUUGUCACCAUUAAUGACGACUUGACUUUCUUCUCACCCAGCAAGAAAACGAGCUGUACGAAAGCCACCAAAACCAGAAGGAGCCGAAUUGCCAACCAGACUACUGGGAACAAAGCACAUAAGUCAGAAGAUUGCCACAAAAGACCAGCGAUUUUGUGAGAAAUAUCCCAUCAUUCCGCCUAUGAACCAGUCUUGAUCAACAAAUCAACGAAUGACUUUGGAUGGCAUCCAAAUACCCUAUCUCAGCCUUUAUCAUUGCAACUCCC
rnacentral:lncRNA from 1 species